GGGUCGUUAGCUCAGUUGGUAGAGCAGUUGACUUUUAAUCAAUUGGUCGCAGGUUCGAAUCCUGCACGAN
rnacentral:tRNA from 1 species